CCUCACUUCACUCUCUCUCUCCCCCAUUCGGUCCCCAUCUCGAACGGAGCUCUCUCUCUCCUCGUUUUCCCUCUCCUUCAGUUCCUGCUCCAGCUGACCCUUUGUCAAAGAAUCGAGUCAAAAGUGGUCUUCCCGGAUGAAUCAGCCAACGAGCCACAUAUCACCGUGACCGGGAGAGACAGACCGUUCCAACGAGCCCGAUUUCGUCCCGAACGGAUCCGCCGACCGGCCUGGGCGCCGCCGUGAAGGAACCGGUCGCUGGUCCGUCGGUCCGCCUGCAGCCUGCACUGUUUCGCGGUUUCGGCCAUUUUUCUCCCAUUCCGGUCCUUCCUCCGCCCAUCCCAACCUCCAGCAAGACCCCCAAGAACCCCGGGAGCCACCGGUUGCCAACCACCCGCUUGCCGGAGCUCCGAUCGGCCCGUUUUCGCCAUUGAAGCUGCUGGUUUCUUCUCUGCAGUUCAGCCAAGAUCAGAAGCAGAAGACAGCAAGGUUUUGGAGACUUUGUGGCCCGUUUUCAAGCCCUUCCCGGCCUCCGUUGGUGUCGCCGCUUUGGGGUUUAUAGACCGCCUUGGUGUCGUGGUCGCCGUGAACUCACCGGCGCGCAAAACCGGUGAGUUUAUCCUCUAAUUCUUGCUUAGUGAGUUAAUGACGCUUAAGGGGUG
rnacentral:lncRNA from 1 species